CUAAAUAAUAAAUAAAUGUCUAACCAUGAAAUGUCGACCGAGUUUGGAGACACCUGGGUCAGCACAGUGGAAGUAUUUGAAGCUUUGUUUAUGAACAUGGCGGUGUGGUCAUACAAUGACUUUAAACCGGACACUACUCUGAACUGUUCACAUUAUACAAAUGCUCCAGAUAUGUAAUCAGGUCCUCCCUUUAGGAAUGGUAAACAUGACACUAUUCAUCACUCACACAAAUAAAUCACUUAAUAUUUUGAUAAUUGAAUUGGUUUUUGCUGUUAAACCGUUUUUUUUUUUUUGUAACACAUUGCACUUCAUGUGUUAACAGAUUUGUGCAGAAUUUGAGACAUACAGAAUUAACAUAGGCCCAUUAGAAUCAACAGUCUUUGCCAAACUGGAUCCGCACUACAGAACUUAUGAAGAUGUUUGCAUACUGAAUAAGGGUGCUUGGACAAAUACUGAAACCCUCUUGGUGCCCACUACACAGGCAGGGGUGUCCAGACCUGCUCUAGGAAAGCCAGUGUUCUGUGGAGUUCAGCUCUAACACACCUGCCUGGAACUUCUAACUAAUGGAAUUGAAGUAUCCAAAUGAAGACCCUAGCAGUAUGGAGUAUAUGAUGAGUUUUUUUUUCAAGGUUAAUAAAUGAUUUGUUAAAGUUAAUACACAAGAAUUUGAGUUCUCCAUCCUUUAAAUACUUCUAGGAUACAGACGUUGGCAGCAAUCAGGAGGUGAUCCAGAAGACUCGUGGGAAUCUAUUUGAAGCUGCAUCAUUGAAGACAGUUCAGCAGAAGUUGGAGUUUUAAAGGAUAAAGUUCUUCAGGACCUAGCAGUUUACAGUCUGCAAAACCAUGUUGCUGGGACUGAUAUAUGGACUGAACUUGAGCAACCCUCCUGAACUCAGGUACACAUUUGGAGUACUGAAGAAGUCAUUUCUGGAGCCAGUUCCUGUUCCUGGAAUAAGGUUUGAUUGGUUACCCAUG